UACGUAGGGUGCAAGCGUUGUCCGGAAUUAUUGGGCGUAAAGAGCUUGUAGGCGGUUUGUCGCGUCUGCUGUGAAAAUUUCGGGGCUCAACCCCGAACUUGCAGUGGGUACGGGCAGACUAGAGUGUGGUAGGGGAGACUGGAAUUCCUGGUGUAGCGGUGAAAUGCGCAGAUAUCAGGAGGAACACCGAUGGCGAAGGCAGGUCUCUGGGCCACUACUGACGCUGAGAAGCGAAAGCAUGGGGGAGCGAACAGG
rnacentral:rRNA from 1 species